GUCCAUCUGUUCGCUCAGUCGGUAGAGCAUGAGACUCUUAAUCUCAGGGUCGUGGGUUCGGGCCCCACGUUGGGCG
rnacentral:tRNA from 1 species